rnacentral:tRNA from 1 species
GAGGGUAUAGUUCAGUGGUAGAGUGCCUGCUUAGCAUGCACAAGGUCCUGGAUUCAAUCCCCAGUACCCUUU